GAUGAAGAACGUAGCGAAAUGCGAUAAGUAAUGUGAAUUGCAGAAUUCAGUGAAUCAUCGAAUCUUUGAACGCACAUUGCGCCCCUUGGUAUUCCGAGGGGCAUGCCUGUUCGAGCGUCAUUAUAACCCCUCAAGCUCAGCUUGGUGUUGGGGCCUGCUGCACUGGCAGCCCUUAAAAUCAGUGGCGGCGCCAUCUGGCUCUAAGCGUAGUAAUUCUUCUCGCUAUGGAGUCGUGGUGGAUGCUUGCCAUCAACCCCCAAUUUUUCUAUGGUUGACCUCGGAUCAGGUAGGGAUACCCGCUGAACUUAAGCAUAUCAAUAAGCGGAGGA
rnacentral:misc_RNA from 1 species